AAAGUUGUCUCAGAUAGAUAGGUAGACAGACAGACAUGUAAAAUUUAAAAAGAUGAGACAUUGUGAAGAGGACGGGCCUGGGUGCUGGAGCCUUCCCACGUUCACCACCAGCCUUUGGAGGCUGGGACAGGCAGAGGGACCAGGACUCUGGCUUUGGGUGUUCACCUCACCACAGGUUCAUCUAUUAUCAUCACGGCACAUGCUGUGUCCUUGUUCACAAGGCUACCACGGAAGAUCUGUGACAUCCCCGUGCCAUUUCUGUAUUUUUCCCUGAUCUACUUGUCUGGUUACCCUGUGUAAAAAAGUAUUUGUUUGGAGUGAAUUCUUGAGUGAAUUCAUGUAGAUUCCUGGUAAUGUAUGCUUUGUUUUGUUUGUUUCAGUUCAGACAAGCCAUCUGUUUAUUAAGCCAUAUAAGAAUUUUAGGAAGGUGUAAAUUCAAGUUCAUCAACCCAGAGUUUCUAGGAUACAAUUUUAUUUGAAAGUGGCAGUGCUAUUUGUCCCUCUCCAGGUGUCCAGUUUUAACCUGGUUUCCAAUGAAUGCUGACAGUUGUCCUCAGAUUAAAUCCGCAAAUUCUUUUUCUGUCCCAUGACGUAUUUAUUUGGGCUUAAAGGCUUGAACCAGUUUGAGUGAUCCUGAGCUUUUAUACAAUCUUCUCACCUAUGUUGGGCCUCAGUUUCUUGUUGACCUUGAGUAUUCUACCAUUUGCUUUUUGAAGAUCAUCUUUUCUUUCAAGAUGAGAGGUGUCAUAUUUUCCAUCUUACCCAAGGGAUGCGACUAUAUGCCUUUCCUCCUUUGGGUUCCAAAUAGAGCUAAAACCACAUGUGCCAGCUUCUUUCUUUUGAGAGGAAUUCUUUCUAUGAGUGGGGGGCAUGAGAAUGGGCCCCAUUGAUGGAGAGACUAGAUGAAUUCCAUGUUUCUAGGCAACUCCAGGAGUCGGCAGACCUCCACGCUGCUGUCCUGCCUGUUCCAUCAGCACCACCCACUUCUCUUUAGUGACCUGGCAAGGGUUCUUAAAACACGGCCGCCUUCGACGUCGGGUGAGAGCCUCUGCACCAUCUCUCUGGAGUCUGGAGGCUGAAUGUGAGGCCUACUUCAGUAUGUUGAGACCCAGUUGACACCUGCACAACAGCACCAUGAGUGUGGCUUUCAUCUUUGCGGCUGCUUCCCCCAGAGUAAGUAAGAGGGAGAACCAGGUGCACAGCAAGCAUUUUGUCAAGGACGAUGGGGUGGGAAGAACGUCAACUGUGUGGCCUCUGGAGAGUCCCUUUGCUUUCUGAGCCUCAAUUGGCACAUCUGCAAAGUGGAGCUAAUGACUCCUGCCCUGACUCCCUCCUGGGCUUGUUGACAAAACUCAGAUCGGAGGUGUUGUUCUUCCAGCAUUUUGGAAGCUUUUGAAGUGCUUGACAAGUGUAGAGAAUCCAUCUAAUUAAGGAAGAGGAUAAACAAAAGCCACCACAUGAAUGAGGUUUCUGGAAUGGGAUGCAGUCCAAUCCACAGGGAAACAGCCCCUGGAUGCCUCAUCCUUUGCCAUCCCUAAUGAGGAAACAGCCCAAUCCUUAGAUAGCUAGAGUCAUUAAUCUGUGGGUUAAAAAGUUAAUGCUUAGCCAAGCUUUCUCCAUCCUUUUUGGCAUGUGGCGUAUAUUCAAUAUGGCUCCAUGGAGCCAACCAGGAGCCCCUGCUUGAUGGAAUGGUCUCCUCUGUCAGGCUGGAAAAGACAGACACCGUAACUGUUUGACCAACAAAUGUAUAGAAAAUAGUGUCUGCCCUCAGUACCUGAGAGCCUUUGGCAACUCAUCUCACACCAUUGCCUUCAGACUGUAAAACUCAUUAGACUGCGAAGCAAGUUUUCCUGGCAGCACAGGGAGGAAUGAGGUGUGGUUGACUGUGGAUCUGGAAGCCUGUGGAUCAUCUCAGCUUCAUCCCUGACCUGCUGUGUGACCUUCAUAGGGCACUUCACCAUUCUGGGCCCGGGUUCUUUGGAUCUGAAAAUCAAGGCCUUAAGGGAAGAGGUCCCCAAGGCCUUUUCCAGCUGUAAAACUCAAUGAAACAUUGAAAACCCUUCGCAAACCUGAAGACAGCUGGCCUGUCCCUCCUCCCCAGUCUCUCGCCUUUCGCCGUGUGAAACAUUUCUAAUCCUUUCAUAAUUUCAAGGCAAUUUGCCGUCUUGAUGGUGGUACCUUGGAAUCCAGUCAGAUUUGUCUUGAAAUGUGGUGUGCAGAGCUGAACUUUGGACCUUGGAGAGACUCGACUAUCUUAGAGGAGAAGGGAAUUAUUGCCUCCUUUGUUCUGGAUGGGGGUUUUUUGUUUUGUUUUUAAGUAAAAACAGUCUGAUAUUGAAUUAGUAUUUUUUAACUCAAAUUGAACUUGUAACUAAG
ensembl:lncRNA